rnacentral:rRNA from 1 species
GUGGGGAAUUUUGGACAAUGGGCGCAAGCCUGAUCCAGCCAUGCCGCGUGCAGGAUGAAGGCCUUCGGGUUGUAAACUGCUUUUGUACGGAACGAAAAGACUCUGGUUAAUACCUGGGGUCCAUGACGGUACCGUAAGAAUAAGCACCGACUAACUACGUGCCAGCAGCCGCGGUAAUACGUAGGGUGCGAGCGUUAAUCGGAAUUACUGGGCGUAAAGCGUGCGCAGGCGGUUAUGUAAGACAGAUGUGAAAUCCCCGGGCUCAACCUGGGAACUGCAUUUGUGACUGCAUAGCUAGAGUACGGCAGAGGGAGAUGGAAUUCCGCGUGUAGCAGUGAAAUGCGUAGAUAUGCGGAGGAACACCGAUGGCGAAGGCAAUCCCCUGGGCCUGUACUGACGCUCAUGCACGAAAGCGUGGGGAGCAAACAGGAUUAGAAACCCUUGUAGUCC